GAUGAACGCUGGCGGCGUGCCUAACACAUGCAAGUCGAACGAACAGAUGAGGAGCUUGCUCCUCUGACGUUAGCCGCGGGCGUGUGAGAAACACGCGUAUAACCUACCUAUAAUACUGGGAUCGCUUGGGGAAACCGUAGCUAAUACGAUAUAAUAUAUUGAACAGCAGGGUGCAAUAGUGAAAGACGGUUGUGCUGUCACUUGUAGAUGGAGCCGCUCGGCAUUAUCUAGUUGGUAAGGUAACCGCUUACUAAGGCAACUAUGCGUACCCGGCGUGAGAGGGUGAACGGCCAAACUGGAACUGAGAGAAGGUCCAGACUCCUAAGGGAGGGCGCAAUAGGGAAUUUUCGGAAAUGGGCGAAAGCCUGACGGCGCAAAGCCGCGUGGGUGAUGGAGGUCUUCGGAUCGUAAAACUGUGUUAUUAGGGAACAAAAAGUCUGUAAGUAACUAUGCAGGUCUUGAGGGUAACCGAUAAAAAAGCCACGGCUAACUACGUG
rnacentral:rRNA from 1 species